rnacentral:tRNA from 1 species
GGACGGGUGGCCGAGUGGUUUAAGGCGCACGCCUGGAAAGUGUGUGUACGUUAAAAGCGUACCGAGGGUUCGAAUCCCUCCCCGUCCG